AUAAUGGAGCAAGAGCAAAGAAAAAUCCCUUUGGUUCCAGAAAAUCUCCUGAAAAAGAGGAAGGCUUAUCAAGUCCUCAAAGCCACCCAGGCAAAGCAGACACUUUUGGAGAAGAAGGAGCAGAGGAAAGGAAAAGGGCUCAAGUUAAACGACUGGAAUCAUUCCUAUAUGAUUCCUGGUGGCAGAAACGUGACAAGAUGCAUCUCAGAUGACUAGAAGUGAAACCUCAUGCCUUGGAAUUGCCAGAUAACAUUCCUUGGCCUUUAUUGUACGCAUUGAAAGGAUUAAUGACAUGAGUUUACUGGUGCAGAGAACCAUGGCAAGACUUCGCCUAAAGAAAAUUUUUAGUGGUAUCUUUGUAAAAGUCACCCCCCAGAACCUAAAAAUGCUGCCCAUAGUGGAAACUUAUGUGAUCUGGGUAUUUCCACAUCUGAAGUCUGCCUGGGAACUCAUUUUGAAAUGUGGAUGAGCCAAGGUCAAGAAUAAGACCAUCCCUCAGACAGACAACACAGUGAUGAGGAGCACCAGGGGAAUUUUGGUGUCAUUUGCUUGGAAGACCUCAUUCAUGAAAUUGCCUUCCUGGAGAAGCAUUUCCAGGAGAUCUCAUGGUUUUUGCGCCCUUUCCACUUCUCAGUGGCCCAUCUUGCUACCACAAAUAGAGUGGGUUUCCUCAAGGAGAUGGGCCCCACCUGGCUGUCGGGGUGAACACAUCAAUCAGCUCAUCCACCAGCUGAACUAG
rnacentral:lncRNA from 1 species